GUAGGUGAAGCCCCUGCGGGUGGAGCUGAAGUCAGUCGAAGAUACCAGCUGGCUGCAACUGUUUAUUAAAAACACAGCACUGUGCAAACACGAAAGUGGACGUAUACGGUGUGACGCCUGCCCGGUGCCGGAAGGUUAAUUGAUGGGGUUAUCGCAAGAGAAGCUCCUGAUCGAAGCCCCGGUAAACGGCGGCCGUAACUAUAACGGUCCUAAGGUAGCGAAAUUCCUUGUCGGGUAAGUUCCGACCUGCACGAAUGGCGUAAUGAUGGCCAGGCUGUCUCCACCCGAGACUCAGUGAAAUUGAACUCGCUGUGAAGAUGCAGUGUACCCGCGGCAAGACGGAAAGACCCCGUGAACCUUUACUACAGCUUGACACUGAACAUUGAGCCUUGAUGUGUAGGAUAGGUGGGAGGCUUUGAAGCGUGGACGCCAGUCUGCGUGGAGCCGACCUUGAAAUACCACCCUUUAAUGUUUGAUGUUCUAACCUGGCGCCGUGAUCCGGCGUGGGGACAGUGUCUGGUGGGUAGUUUGACUGGGGCGGUCUCCUCCCAAAGUGUAACGGAGGAGCACGAAGGUCAGCUAAUCCUGGUCGGACAUCAGGAGGUUAGUGCAAUGGCAUAAGCUGGCUUGACUGCGAGAGUGACGGCUCGAGCAGGUGCGAAAGCAGGUCAUAGUGAUCCGGUGGUUCUGUAUGGAAGGGCCAUCGCUCAACGGAUAAAAGGUACUCCGGGGAUAACAGGCUGAUACCGCCCAAGAGUUCAUAUCGACGGCGGUGUUUGGCACCUCGAUGUCGGCUCAUCACAUCCUGGGGCUGAAGUAGGUCCCAAGGGUAUGGCUGUUCGCCAUUUAAAGUGGUACGCGAGCUGGGUUUAGAACGUCGUGAGACAGUUCGGUCCCUAUCUGCCGUGGGCGCUGGAGAAUUGAGGGGGGCUGCUCCCAGUACGAGAGGACCGGAGUGGACGCAUCACUGGUGUUCGGGUUGUCAUGCCAAUGGCACUGCCCGGUAGCUAAAUGCGGAAGAGAUAAGUGCUGAAAGCAUCUAAGCACGAAACUUGCCCCGAGAUGAGUUCUCCCUGAGACUAUAAGUCUCCUGAAGGAACGUUGAAGACGACGACGUUGAUAGGCCGGGUGUGUAAGCGCAGCGAUGCGUUGAGCUAACCGGUACUAAUGAACCGUGAGGCUUAACCUU
rnacentral:rRNA from 1 species